AAAAACUACCUGGUCCUGGUGAGCCGUGCUCCAUUACAAUGUACAGAGACAACGCAAACAACAAUUACUACGCUCCUUACGUGGGAGCCUGUCCCUGCAGCUAUCCUGAACUCACGACGUGUUACCGCAGCGACCCAAGGAGUAAAGGGUUAGGCAUUUGUAAGAGCCGACAAACGCACGAUUGGACAGCAGAUAGAUAACCUAAAGAGCUUCGUGUGUGAUGACUAAAAUAAAAAAUAAAUUAUUUCUA